rnacentral:tRNA from 1 species
GGCCCGUUGGUCAAGCGGUUAAGACAUCGCCCUUUCACGGCGGUAUCAGGGGUUCGAGUCCCCUACGGGUCA